UACGGAGGGUGCGAGCGUUGUCCGGAAUCAUUGGGCGUAAAGGGCGCGUAGGUGGCCCGGUGAGUCUUUGGUGAAAGCGCGGGGCUCAACCCUGCGUCGGCCAGGGAUACUGCCGCGGCUCGAGCACUGUAGAGGCAGGCGGAAUUCCGGGUGUAGCGGUGAAAUGCGUAGAUAUCGGGAGGAACACCUGAGGCGAAGGCGGGUUACUGGGCUGAUACUGACGCUGAUGCGCGAAAGCCAGGGGAGCAAACGGG
rnacentral:rRNA from 1 species